GACGAACGCUGGCGGCGUGCCUAAUACAUGCAAGUCGACCUUGCUGGCGAACGGGUGAGUAACACGCUAGUAACCUGCCCUUUUCUUUGGGUUAAGCCUGGGAAACUGGGUCUAUUACUGGAUGGAUUGGGAUGGGCUCGCGGCUUAUCAGCUUGUUGGUGGGGUGAUGGCUUACCAAGGCUUUGACGGGUAGCCGGCGUGAGAGGGAGGUCGGUCAAGCUGAAACUGAGAGACGGCCGAGACUGCUACGAGAGGCAGCAGUGGGGGAAAUUGCACAAUGGACGAAAGGCUGAUGCAGCGACGUCCUGUGGGGGAUGGAGGCCUGUGGGUGGUAAACUCCAUUCGCGCGCGCAGUGGUAGUGGGUAAAGAAGCGCCGGCUAACUACGUGCCAGCAGCCGCGGUAAUUC
rnacentral:rRNA from 1 species